CGGCGGACGGGUGAGUAACGCGUGGGUAACCUGCCUCAUACAGGGGGAUAACAGUUAGAAAUGACUGCUAAUACCGCAUAAGACCACAGCACUGCAUGGUGCAGUGGUAAAAACUCCGGUGGUAUGAGAUGGACCCGCGUCUGAUUAGUUAGUUGGCGGGGUAACGGCCCACCAAGGCGACGAUCAGUAGCCGGCCUGAGAGGGUGAACGGCCACAUUGGGACUGAGACACGGCCCAAACUCCUACGGGAGGCAGCAG
rnacentral:rRNA from 1 species